CCUACGGGUGGCAGCAGUGGGGAAUAUUGGACAAUGGGCGAAAGCCUGAUCCAGCCAUGCCGCGUGUGUGAAGAAGGCCUUCGGGUUGUAAAGCACUUUCAGUGGGGAAGAACGCCUUGGGGCUAAUACCCUCGAGGAAGGACAUCACCCACAGAAGAAGCACCGGCUAACUCCGUGCCAGCAGCCGCGGUAAUACGUAGGGUGCGAGCGUUAAUCGGAAUUACUGGGCGUAAAGCGCGCGUAGGCGGUCUGAUAAGCCGGUUGUGAAAGCCCCGGGCUCAACCUGGGAACGGCAUCCGGAACUGUCAGACUAGAGUGCAGGAGAGGAAGGUAGAAUUCCCUGUGUAGCGGUGAAAUGCGUAGAGAUAGGGAGGAAUACCAGUGGCGAAGGCGGCCUUCUGGACUGAAACUGACGCUGAGGUGCGAAAGCGUGGGUAGCAAACAGGAUUAGAUACCCUGGUAGUC
rnacentral:rRNA from 1 species